rnacentral:rRNA from 1 species
AAUUUCCCCUCCAAAGGAGGGUCUGCCUUUGGCAGAUAAUUUCUAAUUUCUAAUAAUUUUCAAAAUUCUAAUGUUUGAAAUUUGAUAAGAAAAUAUCAAAGAUAUUUUGAAACAUUUAGUAUUUAGAAUUUGUUUAGGAUUUGGGAUUUGAGAUUUAGGAUUUUCUUGCCCUGCGGGCAAGGGGUCGUGGGACUUCAAUACGGGGAUUUACUUGCGAUAGUUGAACAGUCUGGAAUGUCUGGCCAUAGAGAGUGAAAGCCUUGUAAGCGAAAUCAAUGGUAACCUUAGAAGAAUCCCAAGUACCACGGGACACGCGAAAUCCUGUGGGAAUCCGGCGGGACCACCCGCCAAGACUAAAUAUGUGUUGCGACCGAUAGUGAACUAGUACCGUGAGGGAAAGGUGAAAGAGUACCCCGGGAGGGGAAUGAAAAGUACCUGAAAUUGAACGCUAACAAGCAGCCGGAGCCGUCCUUCGCUUUUUGCUUCGUUCAAGCAAAAAGCUUCGGAUCGGUAAACCUUUCAAAUGGAUGAGGGGCUUGCCAUUCCGUAGCUCUGAACGAAGUGAAGAGCGUAGGAUGGUGACGACGUGCCUAUUGAAGAAUGAACCGGUGAGUUUCUCUAUACUGUAGUUUAACCACGUCUGACGUGGGUAGGCAAAGUGAAAGCGAGCGUUAAUAGCGCGUUUUUUACAGUAUAGUGAAGACCCGAAACCGCGUGAGCUAACCAUGGCCAGGUUGAAGUCUGCCUAACGGCGGAUGGAGGACCGAACCCGUGUCAGUUGCAAGUGGCUGGGAUGAGCUGUGGUUAGGGGUGAUAUGCCUAUCGAACGCGGAGAUAGCUGGUUCUCCCCGAAAUAUAUUUAAGUAUAGCCCGUGUUUUUAAACUCUAGGGGUAGAGCACUGAAUGGAUUGUAGUGUCGCAAGAUGUUGCUAUUCAACCAAACUCCGAAUACUAGAGCGUAUAAACAUGGAGUCAGUCCGGCCCGGAUAAGCGGGUCAGGGCAAAAGGGAAACAGCCCAGAUCCAAAGCUAAGGUCCCAAAGUGUAUCCUAAGUGUGAAAGGUAGUGUUUGUGCUCAGACAGCAAGGAGGUUGGCUUAGAGGCAGCCAUCCUUUAAAGAUAGCGUAACAGCUCACUUGUCGAUCCGCCAACUGGCGGAUGGCAUAGGCGCGCCGACAAUUUAUCGGGGCUAAGGAUAUCACCGAAGCUUGGAAUACUUGUGCAUGGCACAAGAAUUUUCAAUUAUAAAUUUUUAAUUUUUAAUGAAUUUUUAAUAUUUAAAUUUUAAGUUUUCAUUUCAAAUUUCAAAUUGAAAAUUGGAAUUUCUCGCGCUGUGCGCGAGUGUGGUAGGGGAGCGUUUGCAUUGCAGUGAAGGUCUUCCGUAAGGUCAGACUGGAGCGAUGUGAAGUGAGAAUGCCGGUAUGAGUAGCGAGACUCGGGUGAGAAUCCCGAGCGCCGAAAGUCCAAGGUUUCCUACGCAACGUUCGUCGACGUAGGGUUAGUCGGUCCUAAGGCGAGGCCAGAAGGCGUAGUCGAUGGAUAAGCAGUUAAUAUUCUGCUACUUUAACUAAAAUCGUUAUAUCACUAAAGGGAAGACGAAGAUGGAAUACUCUAGAGUCGAAAUGAUACGGCUUUUAAAUAGCAAGGAAGUGAAAGGUGGCAAAUCCACUUUCAUGAUUAUUCGAGCUAUGAUGGUUAGUCGGCGCAAGCUGGCAAUUAGAACUGUUUCAACUUCCUAGAAAUUAUCUCGUUAGGAGAUUUUAGAUAAAACCGUACCGCAAACCGACACAGGUGGACUGGUAUUAGUGUACCAAGGCGAGCGAGAAAACUUUCCUUAAGGAACUCGGCAAUACAGCUGGACGUAACUUCGGAAUAUGUCCCGCCUUGCGCGUAGCGCAAGGAAUUUCUAAUUUCCCCUCCAAAGGAGGGUCUGCCUUUGGCAGAUAAUUUCUAAUUUCUAAUAAAUUUCCAAAUCCCAAUGUUUAAAAUUUCAAACAUUGAGUAAUUAUUAUUUGUUUAGAAUUUAGUGUUUAUGAUUUAGGAUUUCCUCGCGUUGCGCGCGAGGCCGCAGCUAACGACGCCAAGCGACUGUUUAUCAAAAACACAGGUCCAUGCUUAAGUCGAAAGACGAUGUAUAUGGGCUGAUGCCUGCCCAGUGCUCGUAGGUUAAGCAUUGCUGGUGACCUUGUGCUUUGCACAAGAUUCACAAAUUCGAAAUACUAAGCACGAAACUCUAAACAAAUUCAAAUGUUCUAAUUUUCAAAUGUAUGAAAAAGAAAAGUUUUGGAACAUUAGGAUUUAGAAUUUGGAAAAUUGUUUAGAGUUUAGAUAUUAGGAUUUAGGAUUUUGCGAGUCUCGCGCAGGGCACGAGUGAGCUAGCGAUGUAAGCCCGGGUAAACGGCAGCAGUAACUAUUGCGAAAGAACAGCGUGAAUGAGCAAUAUCAGAGGAGCCACAUUGGUAUGAAGCCCGAAGGGCUGUGCCAAGUGGAGCUGCUGAUAUAAGAAUACUUCGCAUUCUUGCGAAUAAAUUCUAAAAUGUUCACGUAGAGUUGUAGUUACGUGGGUUAACCAAUCCCACUCCCGCUAAGGAACGGGGCAAAAGUUGGCUAUAUGCUGGAAACUCUGAGUAUCUUGUGCUACUUUGGUAUUAGAAUGCCAAGUAAUAAAGCAUCAAGUGCAGACAAUCAGCAGGAAAGACUUUUAAGAGGUUUAUUAAAGAAAGUACUUUUAUUAAUAUUAGUUUUAAUCGUACUUUAUCUGUUGUUUAGUUUAUAUAAAAACAUAACAGGUCCGAUAAUGGCUUUUUAAGAGUAUCCUCAGAGACUAUACGCCAACAGCCAUAAGUUUUUUGUCAUUCUCGCGAAAGCGAGAAUCAGAUUCUCAAUCAAGUUGAGAAUGACAAUAAGGAUGAAUGGUUAUGAUAUAGUCCGACCCCUAUCCUUCGAUAAGGACUUCGUCCUAACUCAGGACGAUGUGGCGACAUAGGGAGCAUGACAGAAAUGUCCAUGCCAUCGCGCGUAAACGCGAAAGUAACAACGUGAACUGUUCUAAGGUAGCGAAAUUCCUUGUCGGGUAAGUUCCGACCCGCACGAAAGGUUUAACGACUUGGCGACUGUCUUGAGGAGAGACUCGGCGAAAUUGCAAUGGCUGUGAAGAUGCGGCCAACUUACACCAGGACAAAAAGACCCCGUGGAGCUUUACUGCAGCUUGGCAUUGUUCUUACUUUUGAAACUGUAUAGAAUAGGUGGGAGCUUGUGCGUAGCACAAGGGUAAAAUUUCUAAUUUCUAAAAUCUAAUUUCUAAUAAAAUCCCAAUUUUGGAAUGUCUAAUGUUUAAAUUUAGUCAUUGAGGCAUUGGGUAUUAUUUAGAUAAAUUAGAAUAAUUAGGUCAAUUAGUUUAAUUUUGUCCUCGCGCUGCGCGCGAGCGACAGUGUAAUACCACUCUUUUCGAUGGUUGGGACUUACCAUAUGUCCUAAAAACAAACGGGAUGUGGGACAGUGUCUGGUGGGCAGUUUGACUGGGGCGGUCGCCUCCUAAAAGGUAACGGAGGCGUACAAAGGUCGACUCAAAUCCUACAGAAACGGAUUUUUAGAGUGCAAUGGCAUAAGUCGGCUUGACUGCGAGUGGUACAUCACAAGCCCCUCCUUCGCGUAAAGCUACGGAGGGCCCUCCGAAGCUCCGCAAGGAGCGUAGGAGGGAGGUGCGAAAGCAGGUCAUAGUGAUCCUUACGUGGUUCGUGGGAGCGCGUAAGCUUAACGGAUAAAAGCUACCCCGGGGAUAACAGGCUUAUCUCCCCCAAGAGUCCAUAUCGACGGGGAGGUUUG